GUCGGUUUGUCCGAGUGGUUAAGGAGACAGAUUAGAAAUCUGUUGGGCUCUGCCUGCACAUGGUUCAAAUCCUGUAGCCGACG